GAUUACAAAUCGUGGUGAGUGCCGUGAGGAUGAUAAACAGGAGCUGGGACUGACAGCAGCAGGGGAACGACUUGGAAUGGAAUGCCCGGCGUGGCUGGUGUGCGUGGUGGAGGUCUCUAAGGGGAGAGAUGCCGAAACAGUAACCUGGUGGACGAAAAGGAGCCAGGAACAUGAAGACGGGAGAAAGCACGCUCAGCAGUGGCCGGACAAUUAGGGUCAACGAGGGAUGUGAGUGUAUUUUGAUAUGUUUACCAUGACGUGAGGUGGAGGACAGAGGGCCUAAGAAAGUGUUUAAAUAGUCCCGAAAAACAUGAAGAUUUAUGCAAAGCAUCCGUGUUCCUGUGGGUCCUUGAGCCCACAGCUCCUAUGCGUCCUGCCCUUGGUUCCUGUAUAACCUUGUUAACCUUGUUAACCUCCU